rnacentral:rRNA from 1 species
GAUGAACGCUGGCGGCGUGCCUAACACAUGCAAGUCGAACGAAGCACCUUACCUGAUUCUUCGGAUGAAAGUUUGGUGACUGAGUGGCGGACGGGUGAGUAACGCGUGGGUAACCUGCCCUGUACAGGGGGAUAACAGCUGGAAACGGCUGCUAAUACCGCAUAAGCGCACGAGGAGACAUCUCCUUGUGUGAAAAACUCCGGUGGUACAGGAUGGGCCCGCGUCUGAUUAGCUGGUUGGCAGGGUAACGGCCUACCAAGGCAACGAUCAGUAGCCGGUCUGAGAGGAUGAACGGCCACAUUGGAACUGAGACACGGUCCAAACUCCUACGAGAGGCAGCAGUGGGGAAUAUUGCACAAUGGGGGAAACCCUGAUGCAGCAACGCCGCGUGAGUGAAGAAGUAUUUCGGUAUGUAAAGCUCUAUCAGCAGGGAAGAUAAUGACGGUACCUGACGAAGAAGCUCCGGCUAAAUACGUG